rnacentral:rRNA from 1 species
AUGCAAGUCGAGCGGAUGAGAGGAGCUUGCUCUGGAUUCAGCGGCGGACGGGUGAGUAAUGCCUAGGAAUCUGCCUGAUAGUGGGGGACAACGUUUCGAAAGGAACGCUAAUACCGCAUACGUCCUACGGGAGAAAGCAGGGGACCUUCGGGCCUUGCGCUAUCAGAUGAGCCUAGGUCGGAUUAGCUAGUUGGUGAGGUAAUGGCUCACCAAGGCGACGAUCCGUAACUGGUCUGAGAGGAUGAUCAGUCACACUGGAACUGAGACACGGUCCAGACUCCUACGGGAGGCAGCAGUGGGGAAUAUUGGACAAUGGGCGAAAGCCUGAUCCAGCCAUGCCGCGUGUGUGAAGAAGGUCUUCGGAUUGUAAAGCACUUUAAGUUGGGAGGAAGGGCAGUAAAUUAAUACUUUGCUGUUUUGACGUUACCGACAGAAUAAGCACCGGCUAACUCUGUGCCAGCAGCCGCGGUAAUACAGAGGGUGCAAGCGUUAAUCGGAAUUACUGGGCGUAAAGCGCGCGUAGGUGGUUUGUUAAGUUGGAUGUGAAAUCCCCGGGCUCAACCUGGGAACUGCAUCCAAAACUGGCAAGCUAGAGUAUGGUAGAGGGUGGUGGAAUUUCCUGUGUAGCGGUGAAAUGCGUAGAUAUAGGAAGGACACCAGUGGCGAAGGCGACCACCUGGACUGAUACUGACACUGAGGUGCGAAAGCGUGGGGGAGCAAACAGGAUUAGAUACCCUGGUAGUCCACGCCGUAAACGAUGUCAACUAGCCGUUGGGAGCCUUGAGCUCUUAGUGGCGCACUAAACGCAUUAAGUUGACCGCCUGGGGGAGUACGGCCGCAAGGUUAAAACUCAAAUGAAUUGACGGGGGCCCGCACAAGCGGUGGAGCAUGUGGUUAAUUCGUAGCACGCGAGGACCUUACCAGGCUU